UAUUUCACUGUCUAGCUGCACGGUUCCUAUUAUGGCUGGGCAUCCUCGUUUUCCUGAAUAAAUGUGCGCCUAGUCCUGACAAUGCAUUGAUUUUUCUUCUUGGGGCAGUUUUCAACUUUGUGGCCUUCUUCACUGCAAUAUAUGUAUAGACCUUCCUCCAUACGCCGCUUUUUUUCUUCUAGAGUAAGGGAUUUGACACGUACCGCAUCAAUUUGCAUGUCUUCUACCUCUGAAUGUGAAUUCACGUUGCUUGAUGACAUAGUUGGGGCAUGGCAAAUCGUAUAUUGUUUUGAACGUUGGUCUUAGCGACGUUGGAAUAGGCGGUUAUCAUACUUCAUAGCUUGGCUAAUAGCUUCGUUGAGCAUUCGUAGAAUGGGAAGAGUUAAUAGCAAAUCCUUCACAUCAUCCCUUGAAUCCCAAU
rnacentral:lncRNA from 1 species